ACGAUACUGCCUGCAGGACAACAUGUGCCUUCAUUAACCACAAGGACUAAGUCUACCAAAGUGACCCACUGGAUGCUUUUUAUCCUCUCUUUAUAAUAUGAUGGCAUUUAUAAAAGUAAUACUGAGAAAAUCCAAAGCUUAUAAUUUGGAAACAUAAAUCUACCCAUAGCACUGUUUUUAAGCACUAGACAAAUUCAAACUCACUUGCUUCUAAGCAACUCUUACUUAAACAAAUUAAGAAC
rnacentral:lncRNA from 1 species